AUAUGCUCGUUUGAAUCACUCUGCCUUUGUUUUUCAAGCGAAAAAACAAAGUCGCUCUUGAGCUCGAUUCGAAAAGAUGAUGAUUUUGACACGAAACGAGUGUUACGAGUAUAAUAAAUCCAUCGAAAGAAUUCCUAGAUUCUAGAACCUAGAACGAACGUCGCACGAGUGCGACGAGUAAAAUGGCGAUCAAAAUUAACCAUUGUCGGUUCUGAUCUGUCGUAAUUUCCUUUCCAAUGGACAAAUUAUUCUUGAUGGAUCGAAUGAUAAGUGUUAAUGAAUAUGAUAUCUCUUCCUAUAACGAUAAAUUAAUAUUAAAAUUUCAAAGAUUUAUUUGAGCAAUGUCGAUCUCUGAUUAAAUUGUGAAAGCGAAGGAACUUGAAUAUCUCAUUCAUAUAUAACUAUAAAUAGAUUUCGAUUAACGUGCGAUUACGAUGUGUAAAAUGAUGACGCGAGCGUUUAAUGAAAACCAAAAUUUUAGCUUAAGAUCAUAAACAUAUAGCCCUAAGUUCAACUAACGAACAAUGUUACUUGUGACAAUUAUCUAAAAAUUUUGAUCGCUGAUUCAAUUGGAAACUUAGAAUUUGAAAUAUCGAGUAUUUGUUCAAGCGAUUGAUUUGGCGAGGAAAAAGCAUUUGGGAAUCGAAACGUUUGACGAAACAUUCUUCGCAAUUACUUCGAUCGCCUCUUUUGCAACAACAAGCGUGAUCACGUUCGAAAGUGAUCGAUUGCGUAAUAUCUUUAGAAAUACGAGUGAAUGAAACUUACGAGCGAUAGAAUACCGAGUGAUAGAUAUCGUUUAAUCGUGCGAGGAAAAUAUCGUUAAAUUACACUAACUGUGCGUACUUGG